rnacentral:rRNA from 1 species
AGAGUUUGAUCCUGGCUCAGGAUGAACGCUGGCGGCGUGCCUAAUACAUGCAAGUCGAGCGAACGGACGAGAAGCUUGCUUCUCUGAUGUUAGCGGCGGACGGGUGAGUAACACGUGGAUAACCUACCUAUAAGACUGGGAUAACUUCGGGAAACCGGAGCUAAUACCGGAUAAUAUUUUGAACCGCAUGGUUCAAAAGUGAAAGACGGUCUUGCUGUCACUUAUAGAUGGAUCCGCGCUGCAUUAGCUAGUUGGUAAGGUAACGGCUUACCAAGGCAACGAUGCAUAGCCGACCUGAGAGGGUGAUCGGCCACACUGGAACUGAGACACGGUCCAGACUCCUACGGGAGGCAGCAGUAGGGAAUCUUCCGCAAUGGGCGAAAGCCUGACGGAGCAACGCCGCGUGAGUGAUGAAGGUCUUCGGAUCGUAAAACUCUGUUAUUAGGGAAGAACAUAUGUGUAAGUAACUGUGCACAUCUUGACGGUACCUAAUCAGAAAGCCACGGCUAACUACGUGCCAGCAGCCGCGGUAAUACGUAGGUGGCAAGCGUUAUCCGGAAUUAUUGGGCGUAAAGCGCGCGUAGGCGGUUUUUUAAGUCUGAUGUGAAAGCCCACGGCUCAACCGUGGAGGGUCAUUGGAAACUGGAAAACUUGAGUGCAGAAGAGGAAAGUGGAAUUCCAUGUGUAGCGGUGAAAUGCGCAGAGAUAUGGAGGAACACCAGUGGCGAAGGCGACUUUCUGGUCUGUAACUGACGCUGAUGUGCGAAAGCGUGGGGAUCAAACAGGAUUAGAUACCCUGGUAGUCCACGCCGUAAACGAUGAGUGCUAAGUGUUAGGGGGUUUCCGCCCCUUAGUGCUGCAGCUAACGCAUUAAGCACUCCGCCUGGGGAGUACGACCGCAAGGUUGAAACUCAAAGGAAUUGACGGGGACCCGCACAAGCGGUGGAGCAUGUGGUUUAAUUCGAAGCAACGCGAAGAACCUUACCAAAUCUUGACAUCCUUUGACAACUCUAGAGAUAGAGCUUUCCCCUUCGGGGGACAAAGUGACAGGUGGUGCAUGGUUGUCGUCAGCUCGUGUCGUGAGAUGUUGGGUUAAGUCCCGCAACGAGCGCAACCCUUAAGCUUAGUUGCCAUCAUUAAGUUGGGCACUCUAAGUUGACUGCCGGUGACAAACCGGAGGAAGGUGGGGAUGACGUCAAAUCAUCAUGCCCCUUAUGAUUUGGGCUACACACGUGCUACAAUGGACAAUACAAAGGGCAGCGAAACCGCGAGGUUAAGCAAAUCCCAUAAAGUUGUUCUCAGUUCGGAUUGUAGUCUGCAACUCGACUACAUGAAGCUGGAAUCGCUAGUAAUCGUAGAUCAGCAUGCUACGGUGAAUACGUUCCCGGGUCUUGUACACACCGCCCGUCACACCACGAGAGUUUGUAACACCCGAAGCCGGUGGAGUAACCUUUUAGGAGCUAGCCGUCGAAGGUGGGACAAAUGAUUGGGGUGAAGUCGUAACAAGGUAGCCGUAUCGGAAGGUGCGGCUGGAUCACCU